GGUGACAUAGCUCAGUUGGUAGAGCAUCGGACUGAAAAUCCGUGUGUCCCUGGUUCGAAUCCAGGUGUCACCA
rnacentral:tRNA from 1 species